rnacentral:rRNA from 1 species
AUUGAAUGCUGGCGGCAGGCCUAACACAUGCCAGUCGAGCGGAUGAAGGGAGCUUGCUCCUGGAUUCAGCGGCGGACGGGUGAGUAAUGCCUAGGAAUCUGCCUGGUAGUGGGGGGAUAACGUCCGGAAACGGGCGCUAAUACCGCAUACGUCCUGAGGGAGAAAGUGGGGGAUCUUCGGACCUCACGCUAUCAGAUGAGCCUAGGUCGGAUUAGCUAGUUGGUGGGGUAAAGGCCUACCAAGGCGACGAUCCGUAACUGGUCUGAGAGGAUGAUCAGUCACACUGGAACUGAGACACGGUCCAGACUCCUACGGGAGGCAGCAGUGGGGAAUAUUGGACAAUGGGCGAAAGCCUGAUCCAGCCAUGCCGCGUGUGUGAAGAAGGUCUUCGGAUUGUAAAGCACUUUAAGUUGGGAGGAAGGGCAGUAAGUUAAUACCUUGCUGUUUUGACGUUACCAACAGAAUAAGCACCGGCUAACUUCGUG